rnacentral:rRNA from 1 species
UAGGGAAUCUUCCGCAAUGGGCGAAAGCCUGACGGAGCAACGCCGCGUGAGUGAUGAAGGUCUUCGGAUCGUAAAACUCUGUUAUUAGGGAAGAACAAAUGUGUAAGUAACUAUGCACGUCUUGACGGUACCUAAUCAGAAAGCCACGGCUAACUACGUGCCAGCAGCCGCGGUAAUACGUAGGUGGCAAGCGUUAUCCGGAAUUAUUGGGCGUAAAGCGCGCGUAGGCGGUUUUUUAAGUCUGAUGUGAAAGCCCACGGCUCAACCGUGGAGGGUCAUUGGAAACUGGUUGACUUGAGUGCAGAAGAGGAGAGUGGAAUUCCAUGUGUAGCGGUGAAAUGCGUAGAUAUAUGGAGGAACACCAGUGGCGAAGGCGACUCUCUGGUCUGUAACUGACGCUGAGGUUCGAAAGCGUGGGUAGCAAACAGG